rnacentral:rRNA from 1 species
AAGGGCACCACAAGAACGCGUGGAGCAUGUGGCUUAAUUUGACCCAACGCGGGAAAUCUUACCGGGUCCGGACACACUGAGGAUUGACAGGCAAUAUGUAAAAUCUUAAUUUAUUAUUUUUUUACGUUAAAUUGUGCGAGUCCUUUCAUGAUUGUGUGAUAGGUGGUGCAUGGCCGUUCUUAGUUCGUGGAGUGAUCUGUCUGCUUAAUUGCGCUUCAGAUUAUUUGGACAUUCCUUUCAAGGCCGGUCCCUUGGGCUUCUCUUGUAGUCGCCUUUGAGGGUCUCGGUCUGAGGAUGUCCUACGAAAGCAACGAACGUGACCG